GACGAACGCUGGCGGCGUGCCUAAUACAUGCAAGUCGAACGCAGGGGGGACGGGUGAGUAACACGUGGGUAACCUCCCAUCAGAGGGGAUAACACUUGGAAACAGGUGCUAAACCGAUACUGAUGGAUGGCACCGCGGUGCAUUUGCGAGGUGGUGGGGUAACGGGUCACCAAGGCCACUAUGCAUAGCAGGUCUGAGAGGGUGAUCGGCCACACUGGGACGUAGACACGGCCCAGACUCAGACGGGAGGCAGCAGUAGGGAAGCUUGCGCAAUGGGCGCAAGUCUGACCGAGCAACGCCGCUGGAGUGAAGAAGGUUUUCGGAUCGUAAAACUCUGUUGGUAGAGAAGCGUUAUCUAACCAGAAAGCCCCGGCUAACUACGUGCCAGCCGCCGCGGUAAUUC
rnacentral:rRNA from 1 species